rnacentral:rRNA from 1 species
GAUGAACGCUGGCGGCGUGCUUGAUACAUGCAAGUCGAACGGAGAGUGUAGCAAUAUACUUUUAGUGGCGAACGGGUGAGUAACGCGUUGGUGACCUGCCCCGAAGCGAGGGAUAACAGUUCGAAAGAACUGCUAAUACCUCAUGUGAUCACCGGUUUUAGAAUCUGGUGAUUAAAGGUGAAAAUCACUUCGGGAGGGGCCUGCGUCCCAUCAGCUAGUUGGUAAGGUAAUGGCUUACCAAGGCGAUGACGGGUAGGGGACCUGAGAGGGUCGGCCCCCCACAAUGGAACUGAAACACGGUCCAUACACCUACGGGUGGCAGCAGUAGGGAAUAUUGCAAAUGGGCGAAAGCCUGAUGUAGCAACGCCGCGUGUGCGAUGAAGGUCUUCGGAUUGUAAAGCACUUUUUGGAGGGAUGAGGAAGGACAGUACCUCCAGAAUAAGCCUCGGCUAACUACGUG